rnacentral:rRNA from 2 species
GAGUUUGAUCAUGGCUCAGAUUGAACGCUGGCGGCAGGCCUAACACAUGCAAGUCGAGCGGCAGCACGGGUACUUGUACCUGGUGGCGAGCGGCGGACGGGUGAGUAAUGCCUAGGAAUCUGCCUGGUAGUGGGGGAUAACGCUCGGAAACGGACGCUAAUACCGCAUACGUCCUACGGGAGAAAGCAGGGGACCUUCGGGCCUUGCGCUAUCAGAUGAGCCUAGGUCGGAUUAGCUAGUUGGUGAGGUAAUGGCUCACCAAGGCGACGAUCCGUAACUGGUCUGAGAGGAUGAUCAGUCACACUGGAACUGAGACACGGUCCAGACUCCUACGGGAGGCAGCAGUGGGGAAUAUUGGACAAUGGGCGAAAGCCUGAUCCAGCCAUGCCGCGUGUGUGAAGAAGGUCUUCGGAUUGUAAAGCACUUUAAGUUGGGAGGAAGGGCAUUUACCUAAUACGUAAGUGUUUUGACGUUACCGACAGAAUACGCACCGGCUAAC